rnacentral:rRNA from 1 species
AUUGAACGCUGGCGGCAGGCCUAACACAUGCAAGUCGAACGAGUGGCGGACGGGUGAGUAAUGUCUGGGAAACUGCCUGAUGGAGGGGGAUAACUACUGGAAACGGUAGCUAAUACCGCAUACCAUCGGAUGUGCCCAGAUUGGAUUAGCUAGUCGGUGGUGUCACGACGCACCUAGGCGACGAACCCUAGCUGGUCUGAGAGGAUGACAAGCCACACUGGAACUGAGACACGUUCCAGAUUCCUACGUGAGGCAGCAGUGGGGAAUAUUGCACAAUGGGCGCAAGCCUGAUGCAGCCAUGCCGCGUGGAUGAAGAAGGCCUUCGGGUUGUAAAGUACUUUCAGCGGGGAGGCGUUACCCGCAGAAGAAGCACCGGCUAACUCCGUGCCAGCCGCCGCGGUAAUAC